rnacentral:rRNA from 1 species
CGCCAACCAGCUAGCCCACCCUGAUAAAAGCAACACCUCCAUAUUAAUACCCCCUAACACCCCCCUCCUCCUCCCCCAAACAAAUCAUUUUUCCCCCUUAGUACGGGAGACAGAAAAG